CUUGGCACAGCCCAGGCAGGGCUUUCACAGCCCCAUCCCACACUCCAUUUCCCAGCUGGAGCCGCUGGUGCCUCUGAGUUCUGCUGCCCCAGCCCCAGGGCCGCUCUCCUUGUCUGCCCAUUCCCCCAGGGUCUCUGGGCAGGGAUGGCCUCAGUGGGGGCUGCUGACAUCCUCAGCAACUUGGAGGCUGCUGCUGAAUUUUACUGCUCCAGAGGCUUCUUCAGCCUUCAGCUCCUCAGUGCAGGAAUUCAGUGCUGCAGGGCUCAUUAACAUUCAGAACACCUUAACAAGCCAAGCCCUGGGAAUCAUUUAAGUUUUCAAAUCCCAUGUGGUUGAUUACACUAUAUUUAAAAGGACAGUGAGAAAAGAUUUCUUCAGGUCCUGUUUAGUUUUUUUUACUCCUAAUAAAUUGAUGUGUGAAAUCUCCAGUUGACACUGAAUCCAAGUACCUCCUCAUGCAGUUUGCAUAGAUAUGAAAAUCAAGACCCUUUAUGGCUGACAAUCCAUCAGACUCUGUCCCUGCCCCCACCCCACCAUUUCCCCCAUCCAAGCCCUGGCACUCAGAGCAGCCUUGUGCAAAUCUGAGCUCCCUCCAGCCCAGGCUGCACCUGCAGGUUUCAGCUCCUUGGCUCCAACUCCCACCUGCUUUCCUUGGAGAAGGAGCUGCCCGAGACACAGAGGGAUAUUCAUUUAUUGCCAGCCAACAAAGCCAAGGGAAGGCACAGCUCCAUCAAAUGCAAAAGCCAUUCCUCUGCUGGAUAUUAAAUCCAUUUUGCACAGCAGACAGCCUCAGAGCAAUAGAAAACACCUUCUGUGCCCAGCACAGAUCCCAAGGUCCCCCAAAACCUUCCCUGCCUCGAUUCUGCCCAGAUUUGCUCUUUGCACACACGAGUCACAGGCUGAAGGCAGGAGCUCCCUCCAUGGCCAGAGGGAGGAAAAGAGGGAAAGUGGAUGAAGAGCUCUCCUGUGCAGAGCCAAGGUCCAAGUGCCCCUGCAGUGGGAACCACAACUCAUCAGCAUCUGACAUGUCCCCCAUGCCCAAGGGAUUUCUGCACAGGAACAGCUUUGGACAAAGACAUAAAAGAUUGGACAACUUCCUUAAGCUAAAAGCAUGAAACCAAUCAGUUGAGAGUCACUUGAGUGACCAGACAGCACCUAGAGGAGGAAAUCUGGGAGCAACAGGAAGGACAUUGAUCCAGCUGGU